rnacentral:misc_RNA from 1 species
ACCGGAUAUUGGACCAUGUAGGGAGGAGAUCAAGUGCAGACCCUCCUGGACCAAAAGGCCUACUUGCCAGGAAGGCUGGGCGUCAGACAAUUCUGGUAUCUGCAACAGUUCCAUUUUCGGUCAUAAGGGCAGCUCGGAGUUGGGGAUCUGAUCCGCUUCUUGUUCAGGCAAAAAAAGUUAUUCCACUUGAAUCCCUACCUGCAUCUGGACCGGUUAAUCUGUCAAGGCCUAAAUCCAGUUCAAGCUCAAACCAGAAUUUGCAGCCUCAGG